rnacentral:misc_RNA from 1 species
GAAUUGCGAUAAGUAUUGUGAAUUGCAGAUUUUCGUGAAUCAUCGAGUCUUUGAACGCACAUUGCGCCCCCUGGUAUUCCGGGGGGCAUGCCUGUCCGAGCGUCAUUGCUGCCCUCAAGCCCGGCUUGUGUGUUGGGUCGCCGUCCCCCUCUCCGGGGGGACGGGCCCGAAAGGCAGCGGCGGCACCGCGUCCGAUCCUCGAGCGUAUGGGGCUUUGUCACAUGCUCUGUAGGAUUGGCCGGCGCCUGCCGACGUUUUCCAACCAUUCUUUCCAGGUUGACCUCGGAUCAGGUAGGGAUACCCGCUGAACUUAAGC